UACGAGCCUCACAAACGUUAUUCGGAAUUACUGGGCUUAAAGGGUGCGUAGGCGGUGCGGUAAGUUGGGUGUGAAAUCCCUCGGCUCAACCGAGGAACUGCGCUCAAAACUGCCGUACUCGAGGAAGAUAGAGGUGAGCGGAACUUACGGUGGAGCGGUGAAAUGCGUUGAUAUCGUAAGGAACACCCGUGGCGAAAGCGGCUCACUGGGUCUUAUCUGACGCUGAGGCACGAAAGCUAGGGGAGCAAACGGG
rnacentral:rRNA from 1 species